rnacentral:rRNA from 1 species
UGACCAUGAGUUUAACGGCCGCGGUAUUUUGACCGUGCGAAGGUAGCGCAAUCACUUGUCUUUUAAAUGGAGACCUGUAUGAAUGGCAUAACGAGGGCUUAACUGUCUCCUUUUUCCAGUCAAUGAAAUUGAUCUUCCCGUGCAGAAGCGGGAAUAGCACCAUAAGACGAGAAGACCCUGUGGAGCUUUAGACACCAAGACAGACCAUGUUAAGCACCCCUCCUAAGGGAUUAAACUCAUUGGACACCUGCUCUAAUGUCUUUGGUUGGGGCGACCUCGGAGAAACAUAAAACCUCCAUGUGGAAUAGGAGUACUACACUCCCUAAACCAAGAGCAACGCUCGAAUUAACAGAAUUUCUGACCAAUCUUUUUUAAACAGAUCCGGCCACCCACGCCGAUCAACGGACCGAGUUACCCCAGGGAUAACAGCGCAAUCCUCUUUUAGAGCCCAUAUCGACAAGAGGGUUUACGACCUCGAU